rnacentral:rRNA from 1 species
UACGAAGGGGACUAGCGUUGUUCGGAAUCAUUGGGCGUAAAGCGUACGCAGGCUGUUCGUUAAGUCGGGUGUGAAAGCCCGGGGCUCAACCCCGGAACGGCGCCCGAAACUGGCGAGCUUGAAUGCGGGAGAGGGAAGCGGAAUUCCUGGUGUAGAGGUGAAAUUCGUAGAUAUCAGGAGGAACACCGGUGGCGAAAGCGGCUUCCUGGCCCGACAUUGACGCUCAUGUACGAAAGCGUGGGGAGCAAACAGG